GACGUAGGGCGCGAGCGUUGUCCGGAUUUAUUGGGCGUAAAGAGCUCGUAGGCGGCUUGUCGCGUCGAAUGUGAAAACUCGGGGCUCAACUCCGAGCUGCAUUCGAUACGGGCAGGCUAGAGUUCGGUAGGGGAGACUGGAAUUCCUGGUGUAGCGGUGAAAUGCGCAGAUAUCAGGAGGAACACCGAUGGCGAAGGCAGCUCGCUGGGACGGUGACUGACGCUGAGGCGCGAAAGCGUGGGGAGCAAACAGG
rnacentral:rRNA from 1 species